GACGAACGCUGGCGGCGUGCUUAACACAUGCAAGUCGAACGGAAAGGCCCUGCUUUUGUGGGGUGCUCGAGUGGCGAACGGGUGAGUAACACGUGAGUAACCUGCCCUUGACUUUGGGAUAACUUCAGGAAACUGGGGCUAAUACCGGAUAGGAGCUCCUGCUGCAUGGUGGGGGUUGGAAAGUUUCGGUGGUUGGGGAUGGACUCGCGGCUUAUCAGCUUGUUGGUGGGGUAGUGGCUUACCAAGGCUUUGACGGGUAGCCGGCCUGAGCGGGUGACCGGCCACAUUGGGACUGAGAUACGGCCCAGACCCCUACGGGAGGCAGCAGUGGGGAAUAUUGAACAAUGGGCGGAAGCCAGAUGUAGCAACGCCGCGUGCGGGAUGACGGCCUUCGGGUUGUAAACCGCUUUCGCCUGUGACGAAGCGUGAGUGACGGUAAUGGGUAAAGAAGCACCGGCUAACUACGUG
rnacentral:rRNA from 1 species